UGUGUUUCUGGUAACCAACAACAAAGAGCAGAAACAAAAGCAACCAGAAAAUGGGAAAGGAAGCAGAGAAAGUGAGGAAACCUAGGUUUCUAUGCCUCCAUGGAUUUCGAACAAGCGGAGAAAUUCUCAAGAAACAGAUCCACAAGUGGCCUGAAUCAGUUGUUCAAAAGCUCGAUCUUGUUUUCCUAGACGGACCUUACCCGGCCCAAGGCAAAUCCGACGUUGAAGGGAUCUUCGAUCCUCCUUAUUACGAGUGGUUCCAGUUCAACAAGGAAUUUACCGAGUACACAAAUUUUGACGAGUGUCUUGCUUACAUCGAGGAUUUUAUGAUUAAGCACGGACCGUUCGAUGGUCUCCUGGGUUUUUCUCAGGGGGCAAUAUUAUCGGCGGGCCUGCCGGGGCUGCAAGCAAACGGUGUGGCUCUAACGAAGGUACCCAAAAUAAAGUUUCUGAUAAUAAUCGGAGGGGCUAAGUUUAAAUCACCAUCUGUGGCUGAGAAGGCGUAUGGUUCUCCAAUUCAGUGCCCAUCCCUCCACUUUUUAGGAGAGACGGACUUCUUGAAGCCAUAUGGAUUGGAGCUCUUGGAAUCAUGUGUAGACCCUGUUGUGAUUAAUCAUCCAAAGGGCCAUACCAUACCAAGACUUGAUGAAAAAGGUCAGGAAACCACGCUGAGCUUCAUUGAGAGGAUUGAAAAUACGUUGGCCCAGACAGAAAAUACUGAUAGUCUUUU
rnacentral:misc_RNA from 1 species